rnacentral:rRNA from 1 species
AGUGAACGCUGGCGGCGUGCUUAACACAUGCAAGUCGAACAAGAACGGAUUAUAGCUUGCUAUAAUUGUCAGCUAAGUGGCGCACGGGUGAGUAAUGUAUAGGUAAUAUGCCUCUUACUAAGGGAUAACAAAUGGAAACGUUUGCUAAUACCUUAUACUCCUUAUUAACAUAAGUUAAUAAGGGAAAGAUUUAUUGGUAAGAGAUUAGCCUGUAUUGUAUCAGUUAGUUGGUGGGGUAAUGGCUUACCAAAACUAUGACACAUAACUGGUUUGAGAGGAUGAUCAGUCACACUGGAACUGAGACACGGUCCAGACUCCUACGGGAGGCAGCAGUGGUGAAUAUUUCACAAUGGACGAAAGUCUGAUGCAGCAACGCCGCGUGGAGGAUGACACAUUUCGGUGCGUAAACUCCUUUUAUAUGAGAAGAUAAUGACGGUAUUAUAUGAAUAGGCACCGGCUAACUCCGUGCCAGCCGCCGCGGUAA